rnacentral:rRNA from 1 species
UUAUCAAAAACAUGUCUUCAUGUUAUUUUUAUGAAGUCUGGUCUGCCCACUGAUUAUUAUUUAAAGGGCCGCGGUAUUUUGACCGUGCAAAGGUAGCAUAAUCAUUAGUCUUUUAAUUGAAGGCUUGUAUGAAUGAUCGCACAAGAGAUGACCUGUCUUGAUAGAAUUUAUUGAAUUUAACUUUUAAGUAAAAAGGCUUAAAUAAUUUAAAGUGACGAUAAGACCCUAUAAAACUUGAUAAUUGUAAUUUAAAAAAUAUAUUGGUUGUAUAGAAUUUUUUUAAUAAAUUUUAUUUUAUUGGGGCGAUAAAAAUAUAAAUGAUAACUGUUUUUAAUAUUUAAAUAACUAUUGUUAGAGAUUAAAUGAUCCUUUAAUAAAGAUUAUAAGAUUAAGUUACUUUAGGGAUAACAGCGUAAUAUUCUUUGAGAGUUCAUAUCUACAAGAAGGAUUGCGACCUCGAUGUUGAAUUAAAAAUUCUUUAAGGUGUAGCAGCUUUAGUGGAAGGUCUGUUCGACCUUUAAAUUUUUACAUGAUUUGAGUUCAGACCGGUGUGAGCCAGGUUGGUUUCUAUCUA